rnacentral:rRNA from 1 species
UACAGAGGUCCCAAGCGUUGUUCGGAUUCAUUGGGCGUAAAGGGUGCGUAGGCGGCGCGGUAAGUCGGGUGUGAAAUCUCGGAGCUUAACUCCGAAACUGCAUUCGAUACUGCCGUGCUUGAGGACUGGAGAGGAGACUGGAAUUUACGGUGUAGCGGUGAAAUGCGUAGAUAUCGUAAGGAAGACCAGUGGCGAAGGCGGGUCUCUGGGCCGUUACUGACGCUGAGGAGCGAAAGCGUGGGGAGCGAACAGG